ensembl:lncRNA novel transcript, antisense to PDC
GGAGGUUCUGUCACACCCACUGUGAUUCUGAAGAGUGUUAUGCAGAAUCCUGGAAUCUGGGAAAAAGUAGCAAGAAUAAAUGUCACAGACUAUUUUUAAACAAUUAUUAUUUAGGAAAAGGAGUAAAAAAGGAAGAUAAGCUAAACUCUUCAGGGGCUUGGCAAUAUCUGAACAUGCGACAUAUUAUUAGCAAGACGUGGAAGUUUUAGGUGCAGAAAUGAGAGAUGUGAUCAGGGAGAUCUGGGGAACAGAGUAAUACUUUUGAGAAAAAGAGUCAUCCUGGGUAGGAGGAAAGUGAUAACCAUCUGGGAUUUUCAGGGUGUUGGAGAACUGAAAAGGACAGAAAUUGGAUUUUUUUUUGAUUGUUUGUUUUUGAGACGGAGUCUCACUUCUUUAUUUUUUAUUUAUUUAUUUAUUUUUUGAGACGGAGUCUCGCUCUGUCGCCCAGGCUGGAGUGCAGUGGUGGGAUCUCGGCUCACUGCAAGCUCCACCUCCCGGGUUCACGUCUUUCUCCUGCCUUAGCCUCCGGAGCGGCUGGGACUACAGGCGCCCGACACCACGCCCAGCUAAUUUUUUGUAUUUUUAGUAGAGACGGGGUUUCACCGUGUUAGGGAGUCUCACUUCUUCACCCAGGCAGGAGUGCAAUGACGCGAUCUCUGCCCACUGCAACCUCCGUCUCCCGGGUUCAAGCAAUUUCCCUGCCUCAGCCUCCCCAGUAGCUGGGAUUACAGGCAAGUGCCACCACGCCCGGCUAAUUUUCGUAUUUUCAGUAGAGACAGGGUUUCACCAUGUUUUGGCCAGGCUGGUCUCGAACUCCUGACCUCAAGUAAUCCGCCUGUCUUGGCCUCCCAAAAUGCCGGGCUUAUAGGCAAUGAGCCACCGCGCCUGGCCAGAAAUUGAAAUUUAAUGAGUUAUUGUAGACUUACGUACUUGGGUUUCUCCUGAUGACCUGGGGGAACAACAUAAAGAAAAAUCAAAAUUCUUAUUUUUCUGCUCUUCUUUGAAUGUAAAACUCCUGACUGAACCAUGUGGGUAAUGGUUUCCAUAUAGAUUCACAUACAUGUUAGCUUACCCUCAGUCCAUCCCUGAUCCCCUUCAUCCCUGAGAUUUACUCUAUCCCUGAGACACACUUAGUCACUCCUACUCUUCCCAAGUAGAACUUCCUUUGAUCCCCACCCUAAUCCUGACCCUACCCCAUUCCUGAGCUUCACUGCAUUUCACAAACUUAACCUAUAUCUUAAUGGUGAAAAUCAAGAAUGAAGUUUAGAUAUGUGUAAAGAUGAAGGUGUUUGUGGUAUGUUAUUGAAUAAUUUUUUAAUUGUAUUUUUAAAGUUUUCUCAAAAUUCAACCUAAAAUUCUUAUUACUGUGUCAAAACUGCCAUAUCAAAAUAUUUUCUUCUAUUUCUGCUUUCCUCAGUUAUUACCAUUUUUGAUACAUCAGGGAUUCUUCUCUAUAAUUUGGAAUACAUGUUUAAAGGAACAUAUCUGACCUCUCUGAAUUUUGUCCUUGGCCUAUGUGAUGCCAUCAACAGUGAGUUGACCUGAGAUUUAAAGCUCAGUAGAGGACAGAGCCACUGAAAUUAGAUGUGAAGACUGCUAAAUUUCAGCCAACAGUAGGAGUCACAGAUUUGGGAAGGACUUUAGUUAUUGUUUCUCGGAACAGUGGGAAACACUGCACUGAAACGCUGCUUUUCUGGAAAGCCCUUUUCGUCACAAAUCCCUCCCUUCUUUUCUUUCCUUUCCUUCC